rnacentral:tRNA from 1 species
ACCUGGGUGGCUCAGUUGGUUAAGCGUCUGACUUCAGCUCAGGUCAUAAUCUCACAGUUCAUGGGUUCAAGCCCCACAUCAGGCU